CUUGCUUCAAACCAUGUGACGUAUGACUUAUAAAACGGAAACUUUCAGUUCUUGAAUGAAACACUCCUAUCUGUUCAUAAUCCAAUCAGAUGGGUCACAGACACUAGCUGUCUCGAUUCUGACAAGUGACUGGCUGAGUAACGAGCAAGCAAGGAAGAGAGGUCGAAAUGAAAUGGGAGAACACUAUGAUCUGAUCGCUCCUGAUAAGGCCCUGCCUUGGGACCAGUCCAAGAAAAGGAUGGCGACCUAGAACUCAAGCCAGGAGCCUGACGGUCCUUUUCCAUUGUCAAGUUAGGGUCUGGUAGGAAACUCUGCAGCCUAUUUUUCUCUCCCCACUACUUGGGUCAAGCACUUCAAAUACCCAUUCAACUUGUGACUAUUCAAGCAGCGCUA